UUUUCUGUUCAUUUUCAGUACAUUAUCAAGUUGUUUUUUUUUAUAUUGAAUUUUUUAUUCUGUGUAUGUGCAAAGUAAAUGAAAAGAAUUUUAUUGGCUUCGUUGCAGUUGGUUCGAAUUCAAGCCUUUUCUCUUUGGCGUAGCGUAAGUUGGAACAGCUUUCGUCAAAAGGGAAAAACGUCGUAAGACAGAUGAUCAUGGAACCCAAGAAAUCCAUCCUCUUAUUGUAUUGGCAGCAGACUGCUGCAUUUAUGAAAAAUGGUAAGCAUAAUUUUGAAAGAAUGACACUCUAUGUGACCGUUUUCCUUACACAGGCAUUAAGUUUCCUUUUCAUUAAGUAGAUUAGGAAAUCUUUUCUGCUUUUAGCAAAGAAACUACCUGGAAAAAAAUUUCUAAUAGUAGCUACUGCAUAAUUGAAUUAACAUUGUGUUGUUGAGUGAUUUAUAGCAAUCCAAAAUCUAUAACAGGAUUCCCAUUCAGGGAAUUUAAGUACCAAUGCUGAUGUAACAAUUUGAGAAAAAUGUACAGCAUUUUCUUUUAUUUUUGCAUUUCAGUGGUAUUAGAGAAAGAUAGAAGUAUAGGAAAAAUCUAAUUAAUCAUUCUUUUGUAUUAGUCUGAUUUGCCAAAUUUUCCUGAGCUGGUAAUUGAGCCAAUAGGUUUGUUUCUUUUCUGCUCCAGUGGAUGGGUGUUUUUGAGUUUGUUCCACAGCUGUGUUACACCAGUACCAAAAAUGAUGUAAAACAAAAUUGUCAAAGUGUAGAUGCUUGCUGAAAGGAAGAAAACUGUUUGCCAUUGAUCACUGGAGCCUGUGGUUGUCUAAGAGGUGCAAACACAAGAGAAUUGAUAACAUAGGAUGCCAUAAAUCCACAGAUGCUGGCAACGCAAUUGUGACACCAAUCAUAGUACCGGAAUUUCAUCCGAUCACCAUCAGGCUGCUAAUAUACAGCCCCGUACCUAAGGGGUAACAGUCUUAUCAUCAUUUUUAAUAUUGCAUUUAAUUUUAUAAUGUGCGAUAAAAAUAUAAAUAUUGAUUCGCGAACCGUCGUGCCUGUUCUAAUAAUCGA